GGCGCGCCGCCGGAAAGGAGAGGGCGGCUUCCGGAAUCUGGCUGGCGGGCGCUUUGUCUCGCCUUCGCCACAGGAGGUUCUUUCUGUUCGUCUCCGCUGCUGCUUCUUGGCUCUGGGAGGCCCAGGUGGCUCUGCAGCAGCCUCUGCCACCCUGUGACCUGCGAGUAUUGGGACAUGCCUAGCUGACUCCUGGAUACCCGGGAAGCCGAGGAAUGGACUCUAUGGCUUUUGAGGAUGUGGCUGUGAACUUUACCCAAGAGGAAUGGACUUUGCUAGAUUCUUCUCAGAAGAAUCUCUGUAGAGAAGUGAUGCAGGAAACCUACAGGAACCUGGCUUCUGUAGGAAACAAAUGAAAAGACCAGAAUAUUGAAGAUCACUUCGAAAAACCUGGGAAAGAUAUAAGAUAAUUUGCACUGAGAAGAGGAAGUAAAGUCCUCUGAAGGAAUCUUAGUAUGUCAUGAACUUAAAAACAAGCAAUCAAAGCAAAAAUCAUAUGUUACAGAG